UAACCAACGACGCGCGUGAGGACGAGAUGGAAGGCAACAUGGAACAGGUGAACACGAUGGUCGGCAACCUGCGCAACAUGGCCAUGGAUAUGGGCUCAGAGCUGGACAACCAGAACCGGCAGGUGGAGCGGAUAAGCGCCAAGAGCCAGUCGAACGAGGCCCGCCUGAAGCUGGCCAACGACCGGGCCAACAGCCUGCUGAAGAACGCGUAGGCGGCCGGGCGGCACCCGUAGGCUGCGCCCGGCAAUCCGCACCCGCCGUCAGCCCCGCCCGUCGACGCCGCGGCGGCGCCGGCCGGUCGCGAUCGGCUGGCCGGGGACGCGCCUGUGGGCGACGCCGCCUGUGGGCCGGAGACCUGUCCGCUACCGGUCAUCGGGACGGCCGGGGGGCUAGUCUGCGGUCGGCGGUCGGUGCCGUCCAGCAGCCCGUCCCUGGUCAGCCGGCACGAAUGGUGUCUCCCUCGGUCUAUCUGUGCCGGCUAGGGGGGAUAGGGGCUGUUGCCUCCCGCCUACCAGUGACACCUCGCGGCGGCGCGGCGUCGAUGCUUGCCAUCCUCUCUGCUCUCCUCCGACACCCCCUUCCUUGCCCGCCCCUGCCGUCGCCUUCCCUCUCGCCCCGUCCUGCCUGGAACCCCAGCUCGCUAGCAGCCGGCACGGCCAGCUCUGGCCGUCCGGCGCCGGUGACGUUACAUUCCGGCCGCACCACUGGCGGCGGCGGCGCGCGUGGUGAUCGCCGGCGCCGCCGCCAGCGGCGCGGUCAGCGGAGCGGAGUGCUCGCCUACAUCGAAUCGGAGGGGCCGGCGCCGCCGCCGCCGCCGCGGCCGGCGGCGCGCGCGCGGGCCGCGAUGGAACGGUUAUCAAAACACGCAGAUAACGACUCGUUUGUUACAAAUCGUAGUGAAUUCCGUUGCGACUGGUGCAACCCGUUGCUUCUACAUCGUGUGUUGUUGCGUUGUUCGUGUCGUGUGUCGGGGCAUGGGGCGUUUUGUCCCCGUUUGUAAGCGUUAGGUAGCUGGUCACUAGCCUCUAGCACGCACCGGAAUCGUCGCCGUUGGUCAGACGUCUGUGAUUGGUCGGACACGCAAUACGAGCAGUUCUCCAUUGGUGCCGGCUGCGCCUCUGCUUCCCUAUAGUAAUACUCCGUGGGAUCGGGCCUGGAGUCGUUGCGUCGGUGGGGAGGGUUUAUCAUAGGCCAACAUUAGGACGGGCUGGCCGUCGGCAUCGCAAGUCUCGAUCAAGCGGGCGGCGAGGCCCCUGCUGGCCAUACUUUCCCGUGUUUAGAGAGGGAACUGCAUCGCUCGUUGGAUGUUUGUUUGCUCCUUCGGAGACGCAAAAUACCAUGUUUACGCCGUUGUUUGCGUUGUCUGUUCAUCCUACAGCAGAUUAGGCGAUUUUACUAGCGUAUUUAUUGCCGAGCGGCGGAGCAGUAGGCUGUAGUGUAGUGUUUGCACAAGUUUAAGCGCCGUUUGUAUAAACUGUACAUAGUCACGACGGUCGUCUGCCUUUGUGGUGAUUCCUCUCGAGUUGAGCCUCGUGGUGAUUUUCCUCGUCUUUGGCCGGUCUGUAAUGCUUCCGUUGCUCGCAGUGCUGUCCGGCUAACAGUUGGACACGGCAUUAUGGAACUAUACAGCUGGCAGUUUAUCAAUAUAACCGAUAUAACAGGA